rnacentral:rRNA from 1 species
GAUGAACGCUGGCGGCGUGCCUAAUACAUGCAAGUCGAGCGAACGGACGAGAAGCUUGCUUCUCUGAUGUUAGCGGCGGACGGGUGAGUAACACGUGGAUAACCUACCUAUAAGACUGGGAUAACUUCGGGAAACCGGAGCUAAUACCGGAUAAUAUUUUGAACCGCAUGGUUCAAAAGUGAAAGACGGUCUUGCUGUCACUUAUAGAUGGAUCCGCGCUGCAUUAGCUAGUUGGUAAGGUAACGGCUUACCAAGGCAACGAUGCAUAGCCGACCUGAGAGGGUGAUCGGCCACACUGGAACUGAGACACGGUCCAGACUCCUACGGGAGGCAGCAGUAGGGAAUCUUCCGCAAAGGGCGAAAGCCUGACGGAGCAACGCCGCGUGAAUGAUGAAGGUCUUCGGAUCGGAAAACUCUGUUAUUAGGGAAGAACAUAUGUGUAAGUAACUGUGCACAUCUUGACGGUACCUAAUCAGAAAGCCACGGCUAACUACGUG